CCCCUCGUAGUUCAAUGGAUAGAAUAGUUCCGUCCUAAGGAAUAGAUCGAGGUUCGAUUCCUCGCGAGGGGACAA
rnacentral:tRNA from 4 species